GUUAGUUUAAGUGUUAAAUUUUAAAAAUAUCGAAAACUAACCGCGCCUAGGCAUCCCGUCCUUAGUUGGUCCGUAAGUUUUGUGGUGUUCGAAGUUCGGCAUGGUUUUCACGUAAUAUAGAUUUAACACUUAAACUCAUUUU
rnacentral:sRNA from 1 species